UUCUCUUUUUCUUCUAUUGUUUCUAGAUUUCCAUCUCUCAGGUCAUAAAAAACAUGCUCCUUUACUUUCUUCCACUCCCUUAGCAAUUCUUUCACAUUCCAAUUUUUAAUCCAUCCAGGUAUUUGUGAAUACCACGGAAGCAGAGGUGGCAUUUUUCCCCAAGUGGAGAGUUAAUGUCCUGGCAGCAUUUAUGGACUAAUCAGUUUAACGGUUCACCAAAAGCAAAUCACUAUUACCAGAAAAGGGGUAGAAAAGAGAGAGUCUGAACAGAGAACAAACACAAGUAAGUGUGUGCCAGUGCAUAAAAUUCGCUUUCCAAAUCUUAGCGCCUGUGAUCUAAGAAGCUGCCACAGUUAGACGGCGAGGAGCACAUCCCACCAGCAGAGAGCUCGCUGCGUCUAACGAAGACACAUCUCACUUCAUGGAGACAAGUUCGUGGUUUGAGGCCAAGAUGCAAGAAAGUGGCCACUGAGACCUGAGCAGAGCCUCCAAAUCUCAAAAUAAAAAGGGGGGGUUCAGAGAGCAAAGGGAGCCUACACAACCUGCCUGCUGUGAAUAUUCCCUGGUGACCAACCAAAUACAAAGCCAAGCCCUUUGUUGUGAUAAAACUCGGAUGCUUACCUUGGAGAGAGGGGUUGUCAUGGCAACUCUUCCAGAGACAAUGUCUUCACCAGAGACCAAUUGUUCCAACUCCGGAGAACAAUCUGCUUCUGUGAUGACAAUUAAAGCCCAACAGGCAGGCCAAACCCAACAGCACCAGUCCGAACCACACAGAUGGCUUUGCCACUUUGAGAAAGACCUGAUCAUAACCUGGAAAAUGGGAAUGACGUAUGGAUUGACAAACUAAACAACUUCUCAGUCAGUUGCCAUGUUUGGAUCUUAUCUAGAAACUAAUCAUAACAGGACUCCAAGCAGACGAUGGCUCUGCACCGCCCUGCUAUGAGCAUGUCAACCUUUAGUGACAGCCAAUCGCUCUCA